AGUGAACGCUGGCGGUAGGCCUAACACAUGCAAGUCGAACGGCAGCACAGUAAGAGCUUGCUCUUACGGGUGGCGAGUGGCGGACGGGUGAGGAAUACAUCGGAAUCUACUUUUUCGUGGGGGAUAACGUAGGGAAACUUACGCUAAUACCGCAUACGACCUACGGGUGAAAGCAGGGGAUCUUCGACCUUGCGCGAUUGAAUGAGCCGAUGUCGGAUUAGCUAGUUGGCGGGGUAAAGGCCCACCAAGGCGACGAUCCGUAGCUGGUCUGAGAGGAUGAUCAGCCACACUGGAACUGAGACACGGUCCAGACUCCUAUGGGAGGCAGCAGUGGGGAAUAUUGGACAAUGGGCGCAAGCCUGAUCCAGCCAUACCGCGUGGGUGAAGAAGGCCUUCGGGUUGUAAAGCCCUUUUGUUGGGAAAGAAAAGCAGCAGGUUAAUACCCCGCUGUUCUGACGGUACCCAAAGAAUAAGCACCGGCUAACUUCGUG
rnacentral:rRNA from 1 species